CGGCGAGUGAAGCGGAAAGAGCCCAGCACCGAAUCCCCCGCCUUGACGGGCGGCGGGAACUGUGGUGUUAAGGACAGUCCAUGGGGAUCGAUCGGGGGUCCGAGUCCUCCUGAUUGUGGCUUCACCCAGAGCGGGUGUCAGGCCUCUACGGCGCCCGAUCGGUUCUCUAAGAUCGUCCUAGGAGUCGGGUUGUUUGAGAAUGCAGCCCAAAGCGGGUGGUAAACUCCAUCUAAGGCUAAAUACAGACACGA
rnacentral:rRNA from 1 species